rnacentral:rRNA from 1 species
CUACGGGUCGCUCCAGUGAGGAAUAUUGCACAAUGGGGGGGACCCUGAUGCAGCAACGCCGCGUGGAGGAUGACGCAUUUCGGUGUGUAAACUCCUUUUAUAUGUCAAGAAAAUGACGGUAGCAUAUGAAUAAGCACCGGCUAACUCCGUGCCAGCAGCCGCGGAAUACGGAGGGUGCAAGCGUUACUCGGAAUCACUGGGCGUAAAGGACGCGUAGGCGGGUUGGAAGGUCAGGUGUGAAAUCCUACAGCUUAACUGUAGAACUGCACUUGAAACUUCUAAUCUAGAGUAUGGGAGGGGGAGAUGGAAUUAGUGGUGUAGGGGUAAAAUCCGUAGAUAUCACUAGGAAUACCUAAAGCGAAGGCAAUCUCCUGGAACAUUACUGACGCUAAGGCGUGAAAGCGUGGGGAGCAAACAGGAUUAGAUACCCCCGUAGUC